AUUAAAAGAAAGAAUGACGUGUCGUGAUGGUGUAGUGCACGUCGAUAUUGAGCCUGGUGUUGAUACUUCUGAAGAAAAAGACUGGUUGCAGAAAAAUCCCAAGACAUUCAGAAUUAUUUAGUUGAGAUUUUGAUACUCAGUGACCUGCAGCUAGGUUGAGUAUAAACAAAGCAAGACUUUAAAUAAUUCAAUGUCCCACACCAGGUCAAAUAUGUUUUGCAUCGUCUUAGAGUAUUCAAAUUUUUAAUUAAAAUUAGUUCUUAUUUUUUGACAGAAACUUUACUUUCUUCUAUAAAAUUAUUUGUAAAAAGAAAAGCAUUCAAAGUAUUAUUAUUUGCCUUUGUCUUCAUAUUGUUUUUUCAAACGUAAAAAACAGCUUCUAAAUUCAAUAGUUAAGUAUAAUAUAUUCAAGGGGGGUUGUUGCAUUUUGUUUCGUAUGCUGUCUGGCUUAUAUUAUUAAUAAUAACAACAAAACAAUAAAAUUUGCAUGCAGCGUACAAGACCUACUACCAAAUAACUAUGGGAAUUUAAUAUUUAAAUACCGCAGAUUAUUUGAUAAGUAUUUUACGUUACAGAUGUAUCAUAAUCAUAGUAAUAUCUCUCUACACCAUUAUUAGAAUUACACUGAGUUGGAGAUGAAAGAUGAAAAGUUGUCUUGGGUGUCUUUCCAGUGAGUUUUUUUUUUGGUUAUUAAGCUUGUACUGUCAUCUAAUUGUUCUCUUAAUUUUAAUUUCAUUAUUUUUG